GAAACCCUGCUGUUGAGCUGGGAAGCAACUCUGUACAAAGAAGCUGAAUGUACACAGUGCCAAACAUCACCUGAAAACUUUAUUGCUGCUGUCAGCAACUUCUCUACUAGUUCAGUUUGAGAGAGCACAAACAGAGGAAAAUCAGAUAAACCCAAUAAAACAACCAGGGCUUCAGGACUGCCUCAGUUGAAAUCUGUGCCAGGAAACGAUCUUGAUGUCACCCGGAGAAGAUUUAGGCUGCAACAUUUCUUUAUUCAGAAGAG